rnacentral:rRNA from 1 species
UACGGAGGAUCCGAGCGUUAUCCGGAAUUAUUGGGUUUAAAGGGUGCGUAGGCGGCCAUUUAAGUCAGCGGUGAAAUUUUGCAGCUUAACUGUAACAGUGCCGUUGAUACUGUUUGGCUAGGAUUUGGUUGUAGUGUGCGGAAUGUGUGGUGUAGCGGUGAAAUGCUUAGAUAUCACACAGAACACCGAUUGCGAAGGCAGCACACUAAGUCAUUAUCGACGCUGAGGCACGAAAGUGUGGGGAUCAAACAGGAUUAGAUA